rnacentral:lncRNA from 1 species
CGCUUAAGCCACUGAUGGCUGCGAGCUUGAAGAGAGGGAUUCUGAGGGAGAGCUUGGUCCAUCUGGUCACCAAGGCUGGGCGGGACAGAGCAGUCAAGAACCACGGUGUGGCUUGAGAAACAGUCCUGCUUCCUGAGCCUCUUUGCUCUGCCUCUUGGGGCAAGCUCCUUAACCUGUCUGUAUUUUUAUGCCUCUGUCUCCCAUUCAGUUCCUCCUUGAAUACCUCUUUCUACAGAGAGGCACGGGCUCCCCUGAAGGAUUGUCGAGGCCAGGGUUCGGGAAGUACACUGCCAUCGGUCAGGGGACAGCUGCCUCCCACCUUGCCUGGGUGAUGGUGAAUGGGACUCAUCUUUUCCUGCCUUGCUUUUGAGGAGAUGGUUGAAUUUAAGCUAACAGGAAAGCCAAACCAGCACCCUCCUUUGUGCUCUGAGAGGUUGGAGACAUCUGGUCCACCCCAUUGCCCCUGCCCCUGGCAAGCCCUGAAGUCGGGAGAGGUGACCACAGGUCUGAAAAUCAGCCAGUGCCAACAUUGCUUGCCCUGCAAGGUGCAACUGAGCCCACAUAGCGCAUUCAUAGUUUCCCUGACCACAGCCUUGGGAAGACGGUGGAAACCCGAGGAUGUGUGGGUUUCCCAGCUAACGGACAAGCUCCCCUGCCACACCCAGUGCCCACGCAUGCUCACAUACAUACAGCAGACCACAACCCUGUUGCCAAGCAGUGCUUCCAAGGGAUAGCGAUCCAGAUUCCAACAUUGUCUUGGAGAGGGUUAGUCCACAUCCAAGUUGCGUGAGAUAAGAUGCAAAGGGCUCUGUGUGGAUGAGGAACGCACCUUAGAGGAGUGGGAAAGGCCACCAGGGUUGGGCCCUGUUUAGGUAAUUCCUGUUGGCAGCACCUAGAGAGAGCAUCUGAGCUGAAGGAGUGGGAAACUUUGCCCAAGCAAUGGCACGGGCAGCGGGCUCUUUCUGGCGCCCUGUGCUGGAGCAGGGCCAAGUCUUAGGGCAUCACAAACAGCCCAUUUGAUGGAGGGAGCAGGGACAUAGCACAUUUUUGUCUGUCUUUGUGAGGCUGCUUUGCUAACUCUCUGAGGAGAGGAAGCCUCUCGGGCUUUCCGUCGGCUGGGGCUAGUGCCAGAGAAUCCCUUCUCAGUGGCCAGCAGGUUCCUGGGAGGCCGGCACAAGGCACCGCUCCCCACUCAUGACACCUUGGUGCAGAGUGACCUCCUGCCCAGUCACCACUCCGGCCAGCCCCAGCCAAACACACAAAAGCCCAUGGUUGCGGUUGCAUCUACACCGUUAGUUGGCAAAGGAUCCUGCUUGAGCUCUGCGUGGUGGCCAAGGAGUAGCAUGGAGGAGGGCCCUGAUUUUAAAAAGGAAAAAUAGAGAGGCCUCAAAACAAUGAAACAAAGAGCUUGAUAUGUCAAGAGGAGACCAAGGCCCUGGGAGGCAUAGGCAAGCCGGGCAGAGUCAGACCAGUGCCCUCCCUUGACCAUCUCCUAGCAUUCCUUAACCUAGACAGGGGCUACCCCAUGUGAGUCCAAGCCAGACUUUGUGGCUGUCCCCAGCCUGCACAGCCCAAGCCCAGGGAAGUGUCCUUUCUUUCCCUUCCUUACUAAUAAUGGGCCUUCCUGAGACACAUUCAGAGAAGGAUCAGAGAGAAAGGAGAACCAUCCAGGAGAGCCACAAGCGUCCACCAAACAGUGUCUCAGGCCUCACCUGAAGCUGCUGUUCCUCCUAUCAGCACACUAGUAUUAAAUGGGUGUUCCAUAAUGAGGAGAAUGGAAAUAGGUACAAGGCAUCUAGCUUAGGACAGAAUCGGAUUUCGGCAUGUGAAGGAAUCCCAGAGCUGAUCUCAUUGAAAUGAUCUAUCGUACAGACAAGGAUAUGCAAAUCCACAGAAGUGAAGGGAUUUUUGCUCAAGAUCACAUAGCUGGUAAACUAAGGUAAGGUUAGGGCUUGAACUUGGGCCUUCUGACUCCUUGUCCAGUCAGUGUUCUUUCAUCUCACCACAGCUGCCUCCUUUGAAACAGAGGUAUUAAGAUCUGUCCUUCUGGUUCACCCUCUCAUACCUCUUUACUGCGUCUCCCACAUCCCCCACAUGCCUCCCAAAAUGAAAGACAAACAGGAUUGUUUCUGAGACCAAGAUCAGUCUGUCUGUGAUCAGCCUGUGUGUGGUUCACCCAGUCAUGCAAUUAAGGGCAGAUCUGGGCCAGUGGAAUAGGAUAGCUGAUUGGUGUUUGUUACUGUGAACCCUAGACCGUACCCCGUAGAAUGGUGUCUCUUGCUUUGUAACACAUCGGGCCUUCAGUGUGCUGUAUUCCUCAGAAGUGAGGGCAUCUCGGUCCAUUCUGCCCAUGGCCACAGGGUGCAGAGAGGCAGCAGGGCCCAUGCAAGCUGCCACCCUGGGAUUUGCUGGGCUGGAGUUCAACAGAUGUAAAGACUUCAGUGAAGCAAUAAACACAAAACUCUGGGAGAAGA